GCUUCAGAUUGUAAGGAAUCGUACCCCAAACCGACACAGGUGGUCGGGUAGAGAAUACCAAGGCGCUUGAGAGAACUCGGGUGAAGGAACUAGGCAAAAUGGUACCGUAACUUCGGGAGAAGGUACGCUCUUGAUGGUGAAGUCCCUUGCGGAUGGAGCUGACGAGAGUCGCAGAUACCAGGUGGCUGCAACUGUUUAUUAAAAACACAGCACUGUGCAAAAUCGUAAGAUGACGUAUACGGUGUGACGCCUGCCCGGUGCCGGAAGGUUAAUUGAUGGGGUUAGACUUCGGUCGAAGCUCUUGAUCGAAGCCCCGGUAAACGGCGGCCGUAACUAUAACGGUCCUAAGGUAGCGAAAUUCCUUGUCGGGUAAGUUCCGACCUGCACGAAUGGCGUAAUGAUGGCCACGCUGUCUCCACCCGAGACUCAGUGAAAUUGAAAUCGCUGUGAAGAUGCAGUGUACCCGCGGCUAGACGGAAAGACCCCGUGAACCUUUACUACAGCUUGGCACUGAACAUUGACCCUACAUGUGUAGGAUAGGUGGGAGGCUUUGAAGCACGUACGCCAGUAUGUGUGGAGCCGUCCUUGAAAUACCACCCUUGUAGUGUUGAUGUUCUAACGUCGACCCCUUAUCGGGGUUGCGGACAGUGCCUGGUGGGUAGUUUGACUGGGGCGGUCUCCUCCCAAAGAGUAACGGAGGAGCACGAAGGUGGGCUAAUCACGGUUGGACAUCGUGAGGUUAGUGCAAUGGCAUAAGCCCGCUUGACUGCGAGAAUGACAAUUCGAGCAGGUGCGAAAGCAGGUCAUAGUGAUCCGGUGGUUCUGAAUGGAAGGGCCAUCGCUCAACGGAUAAAAGGUACUCCGGGGAUAACAGGCUGAUACCGCCCAAGAGUUCAUAUCGACGGCGGUGUUUGGCACCUCGAUGUCGGCUCAUCACAUCCUGGGGCUGAAGUCGGUCCCAAGGGUAUGGCUGUUCGCCAUUUAAAGUGGUACGCGAGCUGGGUUUAGAACGUCGUGAGACAGUUCGGUCCCUAUCUGCCGUGGGCGUUGGAAGAUUGAAGGGGGCUGCUCCUAGUACGAGAGGACCGGAGUGGACGAACCUCUGGUGUUCGGGUUGUGUCGCCAGACGCAUUGCCCGGUAGCUAAGUUCGGAAUCGAUAACCGCUGAAAGCAUCUAAGCGGGAAGCGAGCCCUGAGAUGAGUCUUCCCUGAUACUUUAAGUAUCCUAAAGGGUUGUCGGAGACUACGACGUUGAUAGGUCAGGUGUGUAAGUGCUGUGAGGCAUUGAGCUAACUGAUACUAAUUGCCCGUGAGGCUUAACCAUACAACACCCAAGGGGUUU
rnacentral:rRNA from 1 species